AGGGAAGGCAACUUUAUUAUCACUCGCGUUCGUCCGGGUUCAGGACGAUCGCGUCCCCUCCUUUGUUAGCAGAACGCGACUGUCCUUAACGCGUAAGGUAUGGGGGAUUAAAACCUUCUCCAUUCAUCGCGUACCCUCCUUUGUUUAGAGAACGCGAGCGUCCCAAACGGGUCCCCAAUGAAAGGGGCAAGAAUGGGGGGAUUAUCUUACAUAAUAUUACAUAAUUCUUGAGAGGAAUAGGGUUUCUAUUUGUCGCGCUAAGAGGGGCAAGAACUCGUUUAAUCACCUUGCCAGUAAAAUUCCUUCCUUCCAGCGAUCGGAAGGCUUUCCCCAUUUUAAAUGAAAUGUAAAUGAAAUGAAAACUGUGUGAAUCGCAAUCAAUGCAGAGGUCCGUAGUUUGAGGUUGAGAGAGAGAGAGGGAGAGAGAGGUAGAGGGACGUAGACAUGCAUGUUUUGUUCUUUGAAAUAUUUACUCUACGAGACUGUUAUGUAUUUUUUUAUAUGUCAUCUAUUUUGGAGGUUUGGUCUUAUGAAAACUGAUUUUGAAUGAGUGAUACGUAGGCCGUGGCCGCCUUGUAGUUGUAGCGACCAGCAGCGCUAGAACAAUUUAUAAUUUGCAUACCCUGUGCCGCCCAUUGAACCCUGGGAAGGGUAAUAGACAUUCUGACAUUUCUAUCGAUCUUUUCGUGGGUACAAUGAAUAGGCACAAAUGAAGUACUAGAAAGUUGGAUUGAUAACCGUAUCUUGGAAAUGUUGUAAUCAACACCCAAGUUCAGACAGACCGCGAUAUUUACGAUUGUCAGCCUACGCCUUUGUUCUGAGAGCGCCGACUUGUGGCGGGAAUGUCAUAAUAAAUCUGUCAUUAUUUGUAUGUCGUUGUUGCGACUGGACAAUGGCGCACUGUAUAGGUCGAUUGCUUAUCUGAAAUGAGGCGAGUCAUGUCAAUCAACACCAAAGUUCCAAAACAUCGCGUAUAUUAAACAUCGUUACGCGCCUUCGUAAUGCACACCCUCCCCAAUUUAAAUGCAAUUCCGAGAAAAAAAUAUAUGAUAAAAUUAAGUUUGUAUUUUAAUAAUUGAA
rnacentral:lncRNA from 1 species